UACGUAGGGCGCAAGCGUUGUCCGGAAUUAUUGGGCGUAAAGAGCUCGUAGGUGGUUUGUUACGUCCGCUGUGAAAACCUAGGGCUUAACCCUGGGCCUGCAGUGGAUACGGGCAGACUAGAGGUAGGUAGGGGAGAAUGGAAUUCCUGGUGUAGCGGUGAAAUGCGCAGAUAUCAGGAGGAACACCGGUGGCGAAGGCGGGACUCUGGGCCGAUACUGACGCUGAGGAGCGAAAGCGUGGGGAGCAAACAGG
rnacentral:rRNA from 1 species